AAGCAAGCCAGUUAGGGAUUCUUCCCACCAAUGGACGCAAGUUUGAUGGAGCACGCCGCGUGGAGUGAAGAAGCUUUCCGGGUCGUAAAACUCUGGUUGUUGAGAAGAAUGGUCGGCAGAGUAACUGUUGUCGGCGUGACGGUAUCCAACCAGAAAGCCACGGCUAACUACGUGCCAGCAGCCGCGGUAAUACGUAGGUGGCAGCGUUAUCCGGAUUUAUUGGGCGUAAAGCGAGCGCAGGCGGUUUUUUAAGUCUGAUGUGAAAGCCCUCGGCUUAACCGAGGAAGCGCAUCGGAAACUGGGAAACUUGAGUGCAGAAGAGGACAGUGGAACUCCAUGUGUAGCGGUGAAAUGCGUAGAUAUAUGGAAGAACACCAGUGGCGAAGGCGGCUGUCUGGUCUGUAACUGACGCUGAGGCUCGAAAGCAUGGGUAGCGAACAGGAUUAGAUACCCUGGUAGUCCAUGCCGUAAACGAUGAAUGCUAGGUGUUGGAGGGUUUCCGCCCUUCAGUGCCGCAGCUAACGCAUUAAGCAUUCCGCCUGGGGAGUACGACCGCAAGGUUGAAACUCAAAGGAAUUGACGGGGGCCCGCACAAGCGGUGGAGCAUGUGGUUUAAUUCGAAGCAACGCGAAGAACCUUACCAGGUCUUGACAUCUUUUGAUCACCUGAGAGAUCAGGUUUCCCCUUCGGGGGCAAAAUGACAGGUGGUGCAUGGUUGUCGUCAGCUCGUGUCGUGAGAUGUUGGGUUAAGUCCCGCAACGAGCGCAACCCUUAUGACUAGUUGCCAGCAUUUAGUUGGGCACUCUAGUAAGACUGCCGGUGACAAACCGGAGGAAGGUGGGGAUGACGUCAAAUCAUCAUGCCCCUUAUGACCUGGGCUACACACGUGCUACAAUGGAUGGUACAACGAGUUGCGAGACCGCGAGGUCAAGCUAAUCUCUUAAAGCCAUUCUCAGUUCGGACUGUAGGCUGCAACUCGCCUACACGAAGUCGGAAUCGCUAGUAAUCGCGGAUCAGCACGCCGCGGUGAAUACGUUCCCGGGCCUUGUACACACCGCCCGUCACACCAUGAGAGUUUGUAACACCCGAAGCCGGUGGCGUAACCCUUUUAGGGAGCGAGCCGUCUAAGGUGGGACAAAUGAUUAGGGUGAAGUCGUAACAAGAGCAUGCA
rnacentral:rRNA from 2 species